rnacentral:lncRNA from 1 species
AGGUUUAGAUGAAUGGAAAAUGAACUUGCCAGUUCACAGCUAUGUCCUUCCCAAUUUAGGAGGUUAAGGGCAGGAAAAACAUGAGAAACUCUUUUGAGAAGCUGCACAAGCUGACAUGGAGGAUCAAGGAUUUCAAAAGCUUUGAAUAUAAAGAGGUGUCAGACUUACAUCAGAGCCUGAGACUUGACAUGCCUAUUUUUGCACUCGCUCAUUUUUCAAAUUUCAUAGGCAUUGCUCCCUCCAAAUCACCGCUCUUCUAAUUUUAUCCUGGAGUGUGCAUCCCAGAAGACAUAAGCUGACACAAUUGGGAACUGAAGUUGCUUGAAAAAGCUGGUGGUAAGAUUAGGGAUCAGCAUCAUAUAUCACUAUUUCUCAAAGAUUAUCUGGUCUCUUGAUGGCAAAUCUACAAUAUUGAAACCUUUGAAAGAGAAAUUGUGUUUUGUGAGUUACAUGACUACCGUUUGCAUCCAAGGUCUCCUCUGUAGUCAAGAGAAGAAUGCAGAAACUACAUGUCCAAGAAUCUCUUUCCAGACUCUAGACAGCUUAUACGUAUUUGGACAAGGCAACGUGAUGAAGAAAUAAUAUAAUUGUAGGAUCACCUCUGUCCAGUAGCUGUUAUCCAACAUCUGCAUACUUAGAUUUCUGGAGAGCCCUAUGCCUUCACAAGAACAAGUUCCCACACCAGGGUCAAGAAGGAAACCGUAAGUCAAGACAAAAGUGCCCAGUGAAGGCAGAAGAUGAGGGGUCUCAGGUUGCAUCUUCGGAGGCACGAGGAUUCAAAGGUGAACAAAGCACACAGUACAUCAUUUGAUGUGAUAUCCAUGAAUGACCAUGAAAGUACAGCAAGUGAUUUUCAAGCUGCAAACAAAUUUUAGCAAGCAAAUGGAAGAAGAAAGAGGAGAGUGGUGGUGUGUGCUUUCCCUUUAAUGGCAGAACCCAACAGUCGUACACACCACUUCUACCCUCUUAAGAUGGGUCAGAAUCCAGGCCCAAUUCCAUGUAUACAUGGAAGAGAGGCUUAUUAAAGUAGCCUUCAGUUGCUGGACAGAGUUCCAUCCAAAACUACAGUUAAUAGGUAAGUCGAGAACUUACAUUAAGUGAUAAAUGGCAGUCUCUGCCAAGGAAAAUAUUCUUAUCCAUGCUCAUGGAUAAGAAGAAUCAAUAUCAUGAAAAUGGCCAUACUGCCAAAAGUAAUUUAUAGAUUCAAUGCUAUUCCCAUCAAGCUACCAUUGACUUUCUUCACAGAAUUAGAAAAAACUACUUUAAAUUUCAUAUGGAACCAAAAAAGAGCCUGCAUAGCCAAGACAAUCCUCAGCAAAAAGAACAAAGCUGGAGGCAGCAUGCUACCUGACUUCAAACUACACUACAAAGCUACAGUAACCAAAACAGCUUGGUGCUGGUACCAAAACAGAUACAUAGACCAAGGGAACAGAACAGAGGCCUAAGAAAUAACACCACACAUCUACAACCAUUGAAACUUUGACUAACCAGACAAAAACAAGCCAUGGGGAAAGGAUUCCCUAUUUAAUACAUGCUGAUGGAAAAACUAGCUAGCCGUCUGCAGAAAACUGAAACUGGACCUUAUACAAAAAUUAACUUACAUCUUAUACAAAAAUUAACUCAAGAUAGAUCAAAGAUUUAAGUGUAAGACCUAAAACCAAAAAACCCUAGAAGAAAA